rnacentral:rRNA from 1 species
GAUGAACGCUGGCGGCGUGCCUAAUACAUGCAAGUCGAGCGAACAGACGAGGAGCUUGCUCCUCUGGCGUUGGCGGCGGACGGGUGAGUAACACGUGGAUAACCUACCUAUAAGACUGGGAUAACUUCGGGAAACCGGAGCUAAUACCGGAUAAUAUAUUGAACCGCAUGGUUCAAUAGUGAAAGACGGUUUUGCUGUCACUUAUAGAUGGAUCCGCGCCGCAUUAGCUAGUUGGUAAGGUAACGGCUUACCAAGGCGACGAUGCGUAGCCGACCUGAGAGGGUGAUCGGCCACACUGGAACUGAGACACGGUCCAGACUCCUACGGGAGGCAGCAGUAGGGAAUCUUCCGCAAUGGGCGAAAGCCUGACGGAGCAACGCCGCGUGAGUGAUGAAGGUCUUCGGAUCGUAAAACUCUGUUAUUAGGGAAGAACAAAUGUGUAAGUAACUAUGCACGUCUUGACGGUACCUAAUCAGAAAGCCACGGCUAACUACGUG